CCUGGUCCUGGGAGAGCAGGUCUGGGCGAGACAGCAAUGGCCACGGCAGGCCUGUGGGUGUUCUGUACCAAUGCUGCCUGGGACAUGCUGGGGCAAUCAGAAGGACCCGAGCCUUGUCCAACUUUAUCUUUUCCAGGACCUUGCUGAUCAGCGAGAACAGGGGAAAGGCAUAGAGGAACUGGCUUGAUCAGGACAGGAGGAAGGCAUUGGAGAUAGUGCCCCAUCCAAGGCCCCCCUCGGGAACAGAACUGGGGACAGCGAUGGUUCUGCUGUCACGAACAAGUCCACCUGGGGAGUUUCCCACACUUGGAAAAGUGUGCACCACCUCUUGGUGGAGAAACCACUUGUGCUGAGAGGAGAAAUCCCUGUUCAAGCAAUCUGCCUGCGCAUUCCGGGCACCUGGCAGAUGGAAGGCCUGUAGGCAGAUGUCGUGGGCUAUACAAAAGCCCCACAUCAUGAGAGCUUCGCAGCAGAGGAUUGGGCCUCACCUUGCCUGUUGAUAUAGAACAUUGAGGCCAUGUUGUCCAUGAAGACCCUGACCACCAGGCCCUCCAGGUGCGCGUGGAAGGCCUUGCACACCAGCCAUACUGCCCUGAGCUCCUUGAUGUUUAUGUGGAGGGUUAGAUCCUGAGCCAGCCACAGACCUUAGGUCUGAACGUUCCCCACAGGAGACCCCCAUCCCAGGUCCAAUGCAUCAGAUACUAGUUCCAGCGAUGGGGACCUGCCCCUCAACAGGACCCCUUGGAGCACGUUUCUCGGGGAGGACCACCACCGUAGAGAGGUGAUCACUGGCUUGGGCACCAUGAGGACUUUGUCCAUCCUGUCCCUGGCCUGGGAGAACUCAGAGGCCAACCAGAGCUGGAGGGGCCUCAUCCUGAGUGUGGCAUGAUGGACCACAUAGGUGCAUGCCGGCACAUGACCCAAGAACUAGAGGCACACUCAGGCUGUUGUCACCGGAAACCUUGUGAUCGUGUUGAUGACACCCUUCAGGGUCUCGAACUUGUCUGGUGGGAGGGAGGCUUUGGCCGACGUGGUGUCCAGGACCACCCCAAUAAAUUCUAUGCUUUGUACUGGGACUAACGUGGACUUGGUGUUGUUUACCAACAGGCCCAAAGUGGUGCAUGUGGACAGAGGAGUGAGUUCUGAUCUCGCACCUGCGACCGGGAGGUGCCCUUGACCAACCAGUCUCCAGAUGGGGAAGAUCUGGACCCCCCCAGCACCUGAGGAAACUUUGCUGUGCUAAUCGGCAACUACUUCUGCAGGAACCAAAGCAGCACACAGAUGUGCCCUUGAGGGCCACUUCCUACACACUGGCGGAGGACAUAUUUCAAGAUGUGCUGCAAUUGUCUGAGCAGGCUUAUAGCGAGCACAGAGCAUGGAGAGUGACAGUAAAUGAAAAACUAGAAAUGGAUAUCCAGGAGAGGAGAUGGGCAGGAGCAGAUGAUAAAGCUCAUGGAGGACCAGAGAUGUUCAGGUCCCAGUCGGAACACAUGUGUGCUUUGCCCCUGCAGCCCAUACAGAGCUGUGUUCCAUGUCCUCCCCAAACUCCCCCCAAACAUUCUUUGUAUGUUCCCAGCCUGCUGCAGUACCCUUUGCACUCCACGCCUGGGGACAUUUUCCAUGACAGCUGGACUUACAUACAGCCGUGAGAUCCUCAU